UGGGGAAUCAUGGUCAAUGGGCGAAAGCCUGAACCUGCGACGCCGCGUGAGUGAUGAAGGUCGUAAGAUCGUAAAACUCUUUUCAGGGAUCUUAAAGCCUGUCUGUCAACAACAGGCAGGUCUGACUCUCCCUGGAAGAAGCCCCAGCCAACUACGUGCCAGCAGCUGCGGUAAUACGUAGGGGGCGAGCGUUAUUCGGAAUUACUGGGUGUAAAGGGUGCGCAGGCGGGCUUGUGCGUCAGAGGUUAAAUCCCACCGCUUAACGGUGGAACUGCCUUUGAUACGGCAAGUCUUGAAUGCGAGCGAGGUAGGUAGAAUUCCUGGUGUAGCAGUGAAAUGCGUAGAUAUCAAGCGGAACACCAGUGGCGAAGGCGAGUCCCUGGACAACACCUGACACUGAGGCACGAAAGCUAGGGGAGCAAACA
rnacentral:rRNA from 1 species